CCAAUGUCAGACCACGCUACGGCGUGCUACUCUGCGGAGAGUGCAGUCUGCGAUAGCGCCCCAGGAGGACUGGGU
rfam:West Nile virus isolate AVA1402870 nonfunctional polyprotein gene, complete sequence